rnacentral:tRNA from 1 species
GACCGGGUACGCAAACUGGAAAAGCGGCGAGGUUGAGAGCCUCGUGUUUGUGGGUUCGACUCCCACCUCGGUCA